CCCUUAGAUGUUCUGGGCCGCACGCGUGCUACAAUGGCAAAAUCAACGAGUAUACCUUUGUCGACAGACAUGGGAAAUCUUUUCAGUUCUUGCCGUGAUGGGGCUAGACCCUUGUAAUUGUUGGUCUCCAACGAGGAAUUCCUAGUAAACGCAAGUCAUUAUCUUGCAUUGAUUACGUCCCUGCCCUUUGUACACACCGCCCGUCGCACCUACCGAUUGAACGGUCCGGUGAAAUCUUGGGAUUUGCUUUGCUUUCGUUUGUUCGAUGCUCGGCGAAGAACUUGAGUAAACCUUACCGUUUAGAGGAAGGUGAAGUCGUAACA
rnacentral:rRNA from 1 species